GGUCAAGUUAUUAAGGGUGCAGGGCGGAUGCCUUGGCACUAGGAGCCGAUGAAGGACGUGAUAAGCUGCGAUAAGCUUCGGGGAGUUGCACGUAAACUUUGAUCCGAAGAUUUCCGAAUGAGGAAACUCACUUAGAGUAAUGUCUAAGUAUCAUUAAGUGAAUACAUAGCUUAAUGAGGGGAACUCAGGGAACUGAAACAUCUAAGUACCUGAAGGAAGAGAAAGAAAUUCGAUUCCGUAAGUAGCGGCGAGCGAACGCGGAUUAGCCCAAACCAAUAAAGUUUUCUUUAUUGGGGUUGCGGACAUAUCAUAACGAAGAGGUAUCGUAAUUGAAGAGGUUUGGAAAGACCCACCACAGAAGGUAAUAGUCCUGUAUGUUAAACGAGAAGACUUCAGAUAUGAUCCAGAGUACCACGGGACACGUGAAACCCUGUGGGAAGCAGGAGGGACCACCCUCCAAGGCUAAAUACUACCUAGUGACCGAUAGCGUAUAGUACCGUGAGGGAAAGGUGAAAAGAACCCCGGGAGGGGAGUGAAAUAGAACCUGAAACCCUGCACUUACAAGCUGUGGAAGCACAUUUCUUGUGUGACCGCGUACUUUUUGUAGAACGGGCCAACGAGUUACGUUAAGUAGCAAGGUUAAGCACUUAAGGUGCGGAGCCGUAGCGAAAGCGAGUUUUAACUGAGCGUUCAGUUACUUGACGUAGACCCGAAACCGGGCGACCUACCCAUGAGCAGGAUGAAGCGAAAGUAAAAUUUCGUGGAGGUCCGAACCCACGAGCGUUGAAAAGCUCGGGGAUGACUUGUGGGUAGCGGUGAAAUUCCAAUCGAGCCCGGAGAUAGCUGGUUCUCCCCGAAAUAGCUUUAGGGCUAGCCUCAAGGUGAGAGAUACGGAGGUAGAGCACUGAAUGUCCUAGGGGGUAUUGCACCUACCGAAGACUAUCAAACUCCGAAUGCCGUCAUCUUAUACUUGGGAGUCAGACUGUGGGUGAUAAGAUUCAUAGUCGAAAGGGCAACAGCCCAGAUCGUCAGCUAAGGUCCCUAAAUGUAAGUUAAGUGGUAAAGGAUGUGGGAUUGCACAGACAACCAGGAUGUUGGCUUAGAAGCAGCCACUCAUUCAAAGAGUGCGUAAUAGCUCACUGGUCGAGUGAUCCUGCGCCGAAGAUUUCCGGGGCUAAAACUUACUACCGAAGCUACGGCAUCAGUAAUGAUGGGUAGGGGAGCUUCCCAUACGGGUUGAAGCAUGACCGUAAGGACAUGUGGACAGUAUGGGAGUGAGAAUGUUGGCAUGAGUAGCGAGAUGUGGGUGAGAAUCCCACAGGCCGUAAACCCAAGGUUUCCAGGGGAAGGUUCGUCCGCCCUGGGUUAGUCGGGACCUAAGCUGAGGCCGAAAGGCGUAGGUGAUGGACAACAGGUUGAUAUUCCUGUACUACCGAUAACCGUUUGAGAGAAGGGAUGACACAGUAGGAUAAGCUAAGCACACUGUUGGUUAUGUGUGCCCAAGCAUUGAGGCAGUCAAAGUAGGCAAAUCCGCUUUGAUAAUGCUGGGAUGUGAUGGGGAGCGAAAUUUAGUAGCGAAGUAGCUGAUUUCACACUGUCAAGAAAAGUCUCUAUCGAGGUUAAAGGUACCCGUACCGCAAACCGACACAGGUGGGUGAGGAGAGUAUCCUAAGGCCAGCGAGAGAACUGUUGUUAAGGAACUCGGCAAAAUGACCCCGUAACUUAGGGAUAAGGGGUGCCACCAUCAGGUGGCCGCAGAGAAUAGGCCCAAGCGACUGUUUACCAAAAACAUAGGUUUCUGCUAAGUCGCAAGACGAUGUAUAGGAGCUGACGCCUGCCCGGUGCUGGAAGGUUAAGGGGAUCUGUUAGAGCAAUCGAAGCAGUGAACUUAAGCCCCAGUAAACGGCGGCCGUAACUAUAACGGUCCUAAGGUAGCGAAAUUCCUUGUCGGGUAAGUUCCGACCCGCACGAAAGGCGUAACGAUUUGGGCACUGUCUCAACAACAGACUCGGUGAAAUUGUAAUUCCGGUGAAGAUGCCGGAUACCUGCGACAGGACGGAAAGACCCCAUGGAGCUUUACUGUAGCUUGACAUUGGGUCUUGGUACUACAUGUACAGGAUAGGUGGGAGGCUUUGAAACCAGGACGCCAGUUUUGGCGGAGCCAUCCUUGGGAUACCACCCUUGUAGUACUGGGACUCUAACCAUAGGCCAUGAAUCUGGUCUUGGGACACUGUCAGGUGGGCAGUUUGACUGGGGCGGUCGCCUCCCAAAAGGUAACGGAGGCGCUCAAAGGUUCUCUCAGUACGGUCGGAAAUCGUACGUAGAGUGUAAAGGCAAAAGAGAGCUUGAUUGCAAGACAUACAGGUCGAGCAAGGAUGAAAAUCGGACUUAGUGAUCCGGUGGUUCUGCGUGGAAGGGCCAUCGCUCAACGGAUAAAAGCUACCCUGGGGAUAACAGGCUUAUCUCCCCCAAGAGUCCACAUCGACGGGGAGGUUUGGCACCUCGAUGUCGGCUCAUCACAUCCUGGGGCUGUAGUAGGUCCCAAGGGUUGGGCUGUUCGCCCAUUAAAGUGGUACGCGAGCUGGGUUCAGAACGUCGUGAGACAGUUCGGUCCCUAUCCGUCGCAGGCGUAGGAAAUUUGAGAAGACCUGUCCUUAGUACGAGAGGACCGGGAUGGACGUACCUCUGGUGUACCAGUUGUCCUGCCAAGGGCA
rnacentral:rRNA from 1 species